UAGGGAAUCUUCCACAAUGGACGCAAGUCUGAUGGAGCAACGCCGCGUGAGUGAAGAAGGUUUUCGGAUCGUAAAGCUCUGUUGUUGGUGAAGAAGGAUAGAGGCAGUAACUGGCCUUUAUUUGACGGUAAUCAACCAGAAAGUCACGGCUAACUACGUGCCAGCAGCCGCGGUAAUACGUAGGUGGCAAGCGUUGUCCGGAUUUAUUGGGCGUAAAGCGAGCGCAGGCGGAAGAAUAAGUCUGAUGUGAAAGCCCUCGGCUUAACCGAGGAAUUGCAUCGGAAACUGUUUUUCUUGAGUGCAGAAGAGGAGAGUGGAACUCCAUGUGUAGCGGUGGAAUGCGUAGAUAUAUGGAAGAACACCAGUGGCGAAGGCGGCUCUCUGGUCUGCAACUGACGCUGAGGCUCGAAAGCAUGGGUAGCGAACAGAAUUAGAUACCC
rnacentral:rRNA from 1 species